ACCGAGUCUUAACUGGGCGCUCAGUCUCUGGAUAUAGACCCGAAACCAGGUGAUCUAGCCAUGGGCAGGUUGAAGGUUGAGUAACAUCAACUGGAGGACCGAACCGACUAAUGUUGAAAAAUUAGCGGAUGACUUGUGGCUAGGGGUGAAAGGCCAAUCAAACCUGGAGAUAGCUGGUUCUCCCCGAAAGCUAUUUAGGUAGCGCCUCGGACGAAUACUACUGGGGGUAGAGCACUGUUAAGGCUAGGGGGUCAUCCCGACUUACCAACCCUUUGCAAACUCCGAAUACCAGUAAGUACUAUCCGGGAGACACACGGCGGGUGCUAACGUCCGUCGUGGAGAGGGAAACAACCCAGACCGCCAGCUAAGGUCCCAAAUUACUACUAAGUGGGAAACGAUGUGGGAAGGCUCAGACAGCCAGGAUGUUGGCUUAGAAGCAGCCAUCAUUUAAAGAAAGCGUAAUAGCUCACUGGUCGAGUCGGCCUGCGCGGAAGAUGUAACGGGGCUAAGUA
rnacentral:rRNA from 1 species